AUAUCUCUCUGUACGGGAAGGAUGAGAAGCUUCUACCAGGGUUCGAUUCGAGCGCAGCGAGAAAGCGUUGCCGCAGGCAACGA
rnacentral:sRNA from 1 species